rnacentral:rRNA from 1 species
GUCGAGCGAACAGAUGAGGAGCUUGCUCCUUAAGAUGUUAGCGGCGGACGGGUGAGUAACACGUGGGCAACCUGCCCUAUAGUUUGGGAUAACUCGCGGAAACGUGAGCUAAUACCGAAUAAUACAUUCCAUCUCCUGAUGGGAUGUUGAAAGAUGGUUUUUCGCUAUCGCUAUAGGAUGGGCCCGCGGCGCAUUAGCUAGUAGGUGAGGUAACGGCUCACCUAGGCAACGAUGCGUAGCCGACCUGAGAGGGUGAUCGGCCACACUGGGACUGAGACACGGCCCAGACUCCUACGGGAGGCAGCAGUAGGGAAUCUUCCACAAUGGACGAAAGUCUGAUGGAGCAACGCCGCGUGAGUGAAGAAGGUUUUCGGAUCGUAAAACUCUGUUGUAAGGGAAGAACAAGUACAGUAGUAACUGGCUGUACCUUGACGGUACCUUAUUAGAAAGCCACGGCUAACUACGUGCCAGCAGCCGCGGUAAUACGUAGGUGGCAAGCGUUGUCCGGAAUUAUUGGGCGUAAAGCGCGCGCGGGCGGUCCUUUAAGUCUGAUGUGAAAUCACGUGGCUCAACCACGUGCGGUCAUUGGAAACUGGAGGACUUGAGUGCA